rfam:Gossypium hirsutum cultivar TM-1 chromosome 1, whole genome shotgun sequence
GUCGUUGUAGUAUAGUGGUGAGUAUUCCCGCUUUUCACGCGGGCGACCCGGGUUUUAUCCCCAGCAACGGUG